ACCCCCAGCAAUGGGCAGAGACACCUUGUUGGUGGUGUUCUUAUACCAGUCAGGGGCAAAGCAGAUGGCAGCCCUUUGUUUCAUCCUAGCUUGAUGGGCGUCUUGAUGACUAAAGCUAUUUUAUGCCUAGGACAUAUAA